GGCGAGUGAAGCGGCAAAAGCUCAAAUUUGAAAUCUAGCACCUUCGGUGUUCGAGUUGUAAUUUGAAGAUGGUAACCUUGGGUUUGGCUCUUGUCUAUGUUCCUUGGAACAGGACGUCAUAGAGGGUGAGAAUCCCGUCUGAUGAGAUGCCCAUUCCUAUGUAAGGUGCUAUCGAAGAGUCGAGUUGUUUGGGAAUGCAGCUCUAAGUGGGUGGUAAAUUCCAUCUAAAGCUAAAUAUUGGCGAGAGACCGAUAGCGAACAAGUACAGUGAUGGAAAGAUGAAAAGAACUUUGAAAAGAGAGUGAAAAAGUACGUGAAAUUGUUGAAAGGGAAGGGCAUUAGAUCAGACUUGGUGUUUUACGAUUAUCUUCUCUUCUUGAGUUGUGCACUCGUAUUUCACUGGGCCAGCAUCGAUUCGGAUGGCAAGAUAAUGGCAGUUGAAUGUGGCUUCACUUCGGUGGAGUGUUAUAGCUUCUGCUGAUAUUGCCUGUCUGGAUCGAGGGCUGCGUCUUUUGACUAGGAUGCUGGCGUAAUGAUCUAAUGCCGCCCG
rnacentral:rRNA from 1 species